GCAUAUCAAUAAGCGGAGGAAAAGAAACCAACAGGGAUUGCCUCAGUAACGGCGAGUGAAGCGGCAACAGCUCAAAUUUGAAAUCUGGCUCUCGGGCCCGAGUUGUAAUUUGUAGAGGAUGCUUUUGGUGCGGUGCCUUCCGAGUUCCCUGGAACGGGACGCCAUAGAGGGUGAGAGCCCCGUCUGGUUGGAUGCCAAUCCUCUGUAAAGCUCCUUCGACGAGUCGAGUAGUUUGGGAAUGCUGCUCUAAAUGGGAGGUAUAUGUCUUCUAAAGCUAAAUACCGGCCAGAGACCGAUAGCGCACAAGUAGAGUGAUCGAAAGAUGAAAAGAACUUUGAAAAGAGAGUUAAAAAGUACGUGAAAUUGUUGAAAGGGAAGCGCUUGUGACCAGACUUGGGCUUGGUUGAUCAUCCAGGGUUCUCCCUGGUGCACUCUUCCGGCCCAGGCCAGCAUCAGUUUGCCCCGGGGGAUAAAGGCGUCGGGAAUGUGGCUCCCUCCGGGGAGUGUUAUAGCCCGGCGCGCAAUACCCUGAGGCGGACUGAGGUUCGCGCAUUCGCAAGGAUGCUGGCGUAAUGGUCAUCAGUGACCCGUCUUGAAACACGGACCAAGGAGUCGUCUUCGUAUGCGAGUGUUCGGGUGUCAAACCCCUACGCGUAAUGAAAGUGAACGCAGGUGAGAGCUUCGGCGCAUCAUCGACCGAUCCUGAUGUUUUCGGAUGGAUUUGAGUAAGAGCAUACGGGGCCGGACCCGAAAGAAGGUGAACUAUGCCUGUAUAGGGUGAAGCCAGAGGAAACUCUGGUGGAGGCUCGCAGCGGUUCUGACGUGCAAAUCGAUCGUCAAAUAUGGGCAUGGGGGCGAAAGACUAAUCGAACCUUCUAGUAGCUGGUUCCGCGA
rnacentral:rRNA from 1 species